UACGUAGGGUGCGAGCGUUAAUCGGAAUUACUGGGCGUAAAGCGUGCGCAGGCGGUUUUGUAAGCCAGAUGUGAAAUCCCCGGGCUUAACCUGGGAAUGGCAUUUGGGACUGCAAGGCUGGAGUGCGGCAGAGGAGACUGGAAUUCCUGGUGUAGCAGUGAAAUGCGUAGAUAUCAGGAGGAACACCAAUGGCGAAGGCAGCUCACUGGGACGUUACUGACGCUGAGACGCGAAAGCGUGGGGAGCAAACAGG
rnacentral:rRNA from 1 species